rnacentral:tRNA from 7 species
GGAGAGAUGGCUGAGCGGUUGAAAGCACCGGUCUUGAAAACCGGCAAGGUGGCAACACCUUCCAGAGUUCGAAUCUCUGUCUCUCCGCCA